rnacentral:rRNA from 1 species
AGAUUGAACGCUGGCGGCAGGCCUAACACAUGCAAGUCGAGCGGUAGAGAGGUGCUUGCAUCUCUUGAGAGCGGCGGACGGGUGAGUAAUGCCUAGGAAUCUGCCUGGUAGUGGGGGAUAACGCUCGGAAACGGACGCUAAUACCGCAUACGUCCUACGGGAGAAAGCAGGGGACCUUCGGGCCUUGCGCUAUCAGAUGAGCCUAGGUCGAUAGCUAGUGGUGAGGUAAUGGCUCACCAAGGCGACGAUCCGUAACCGGUCUGAGAGGAUGAUCCAGUCACACUGGAACUGAGACACGGUCCAGACUCCGUAACGGGAGGCAGCAGGUGGGAAUAGUUGGACUAAGUGGGACGAAAGCCUAGAUCAGCCAUCGCCGCGUGUGUAGAAAGUAAGUCGUACGGUAUUAGUAAA